rnacentral:lncRNA from 1 species
ACUUCAAAUCCUUCUUACCUUGAAAUUUUAAGUUUGGGUAUCAAGAACUGAUCCAACAUAUUUCUAAAAUGAUGAUUUUUUUUCUUUAAAGUUUUGAAAAACUACAGUCUUUGUUUUAAAAAGGCCAAAAGACAUUUUCUGAAGACAUAAUGGAGACUCUGGUGGUGGUGUUAGCAAAUCUUUUUGGAUGACGAUAUUUUCUUCAGUGUGUGAAAAACUUUGAAAAGAGAUUUUUUUCAUUCAGUGUAGUGACACAGUCGAAAUACAAACACAGUGAUGUAAACUGCAUUGGCUUCCUCAGGCUGCUGUCAGAGGCGAGGUGGGUUAGACACGGAGGGCUGCCUGCUGUCC